UACGUAGGGUGCAAGCGUUGUCCGGAAUUAUUGGGCGUAAAGAGCUCGUAGGCGGUUUGUCGCGUCUGGUGUGAAAAUCCAGGGCUUAACCCUGGACCUGCAUCGGGUACGGGCAGACUAGAGUGCGGUAGGGGAGAUCGGAAUUCCUGGUGUAGCGGUGAAAUGCGCAGAUAUCAGGAGGAACACCGGUGGCGAAGGCGGCAUCCUGGACCGAUAUUGACGCUGAUGCGCGAAAGCCAGGGGAGCAAACGGG
rnacentral:rRNA from 1 species